UACAGAAAGGGCUAGCGUUGUUCGGAAUUACUGGGCGUAAAGGGCGCGAAGGCGGCGUCGUAAGUCAGGCGUGAAAAGCCCGGGCUCAACCCGGGAACUGCGCUUGAUACUGCGGCGCUCGAGUCCGGGAGAGGAUGGCGGAAUUCCCAGUGUAGAGGUGAAAUUCGUAGAGAUUGGGAAGAACACCGGUGACGUAGGCGGCCAUCGGGACCGGUACUGACGCUAAUGUGUGAAAGCGUGGGGAGCAAACAGG
rnacentral:rRNA from 1 species